rnacentral:lncRNA from 1 species
AGCCAACAAAAAAAGAGUGGAAAUUUUUACCGAUCUGGAACUUAAGCCUGAGUUUCUGAUUUUUCUUCUCACCAAUUUUCCCUUGUGGAUAGACCCCUAGAAAAUAAUGUCAUAUUUGAUUAAUUCUAUCAUUUUUGCAUUUGUGGUAUGUGUGAGAAAUCGUAUUUAUAUUUGUAAAUCAACCGACCUUAUCAGAAGCGCUUUAAGUUCUUAGUCUCUGGUGGAUUGUGGAUCGCCUAUCAGUAGCAGAACUUCCUGGGGUGGUUGGAAAUAUGCAGAUUUCUGUUCUGUCAGCCCCAAGCUGUGAAUUAAAUUGUGGGAUCUGGCUGAGAAAUCUUCAUUUCUAAAGCAUCCAUUUUGUGUGGUUACGUAGCCUCCAGGGGCCUUGAACUGCGUAGCCCCUCCCUAGAGCGCAUGCCUUAAAGAACAGCCUGCAGAGUCACAGCGACCAAUCCAGCCUUAGCCUGGGAACCCCAAAACAUUCUACCCUUGGACUCUAAUAAAAGCGUAUGUCCCAGAUCCUGCUGCUCAUACUCUGCCUGCACCCUGCCUUGACCUCCCUGUGUGGCUCCUCGAGAUACCUCCUCCAGGACCUUGUGAUUUUGGUCCUCUUGGUUUCUCUGAUGCUGCUGGGGCUCCCAUUUGCCUGAAGGGGCAUUCCUGUGAGUCAGCAUCCUCUCUAAUCAACAUGUUGCAGAAAAGUGUUUACACACAACAUCCAGAGAAGAGCAUGGCUUUUGGCAAGUGGUGCCAUGUCCGCACCCAGGAUCUCAACUAGUGAACCCCGGGCUGCUGAAGCGGAAUGUUGAAACUUAACUGCUGCGCCACCAGGCUGGCCCCUAGAAAAGACCAUUUCUUAAUAGCACAUAUCCAUUUGAUAGAAUGUAAUUAGUAUUGAAGAGUAUCUCGUGAUGAAAUUAAUUGCAGUCUCCAAGGUCUGAAACAAAAGAUAAAGCUGGAAAUCCACUCUCUAAAAUUAUAUUGGAAGAAAAAAUAGUGUUGUUUAGAAAAUGUCUGACUUAAAGGGUCCUGUACAACUUCUUCAUGUUAAAUUACGUUUUAACUUGUUUACAUCAGCCAGACUGAAUUUAUUAUAAGAGAUUUGCAAAAGAGUGAUUAGAUAAAAUAAUUCUAAGAGAGAGCAUUUGCUUGUUACUCUCAAUUCAUUGCAAUGAAUUCAGUUGUGAUGAGGUAAAAGGGACAAUUCAGGGAAUUCUCUCAGGAUCUUC